rfam:Anas platyrhynchos breed Pekin duck contig107960, whole genome shotgun sequence.
CUUUUGGUCCUUUUCAGGACCAUUAAUAUAAAGUAGAAAGUGAAAG